rnacentral:rRNA from 1 species
CAGUCGCCACGGGAAUACGUAGGUGGCAAGCGUUGUCCGGAAUUAUUGGGCGUAAAGGGCUCGCAGGCGGUUUCUUAAGUCUGAUGUGAAAGCCCCCGGCUCAACCGGGGAGGGUCAUUGGAAACUGGGAAACUUGAGUGCAGAAGAGGAGAGUGGAAUUCCACGUGUAGCGGUGAAAUGCGUAGAGAUGUGGAGGAACACCAGUGGCGAAGGCGACUCUCCGGUCUGUAACUGACGCUGAGGAGCGAAAGCGUGGGGAGCGAACAGGAUUAGAUACCCCUGUAGUCCCUGUCUCUUAUAC